AUUGAACGCUGGCGGCAUGCCUUACACAUGCAAGUCGAACGGUAACGGGUCCUUCGGGAUGCCGACGAGUGGCGAACGGGUGAGUAAUAUAUCGGAACGUGCCCAGUAGUGGGGGAUAACUGCUCGAAAGAGCAGCUAAUACCGCAUACGACCUGAGGGUGAAAGGGGGGGAUCGCAAGACCUCUCGCUAUCGGAGCGGCCGAUAUCAGAUUAGCUAGUUGGUGGGGUAAAGGCCUACCAAGGCAACGAUCUGUAGUUGGUCUGAGAGGACGACCAGCCACACUGGGACUGAGACACGGCCCAGACUCCUACGGGAGGCAGCAGUGUGGAAUUUUGGACAAUGGGCGCAAGCCUGAUCCAGCAAUGCCGCGUGCAGGAAGAAGGCCUUCGGGUUGUAAACUGCUUUUGUCAGGGAAGAAAUCUUCUGGGCUAAUACCCCGGGAGGAUGACGGUACCUGAAGAAUAAGCACCGGCUAACUACGUGCCAGCCGCCGCGGUAA
rnacentral:rRNA from 1 species